rnacentral:miRNA from 1 species
GUGUGUGUGUAUGUGUGUGUGUAUUUAGCAGUCUGUGUGUGUAUUCAGCAGACUGUGUACUCAGCAGUCUGUGUGUAUUCAGCAGUCUGCUAAAUACAGACAGACUGCUAAAUACACACAGACAGACUG